GGGCGUUUAGCUCAGCUGGUUGAGAGCAUGUGCCUUACAAGCAGAGGGUCGGCGGUUCGAAUCCGUCAACGCCCC
rnacentral:tRNA from 1 species